CAUUCUCUUUAAGGCGUCUAUCGUAUCUAAAAAUACCCUUCUUCUUUUUCUUUGAGAGAUCCAAAUGAGUGAGGAGGGGCCUGUGAUCUGAACCUUCAAACUUCAUAUACUCACAUCGGCUAAAGGGGACAGAAAGUUACCAGAGUGUCGAAGGUCGAAUAAGUCGCAAGUUGACAUGAAACUUCGGAUAUCAGUGAAAGUUCCUUCGUGUCUAGUUGGGCCUCCUUGCUUUUCCAAGGUUCUCCAUACAGGAAGGUAGCGAAGAAAGUUU